rnacentral:rRNA from 1 species
GACGAACGCUGGCGGCGUGCUUAACACAUGCAAGUCGAACGAUGAACGCGGAGCUUGCUCCGCUGGAUCAGUGGCGAACGGGUGAGUAACACGUGGGCAACCUGCCCCUCACUUCGGGAUAACUCCGGGAAACCGGGGCUAAUACCGGAUAUGACCUCCUUGGGCAUCCUUGGAGGUGGAAAGUUUUUCGGUGAGGGAUGGGCCCGCAGCCUAUCAGCUUGUUGGUGAGGUAGUGGCUCACCAAGGCGACGACGGGUAGCCGGCCUGAGAGGGCGACCGGCCACACUGGGACUGAGACACGGCCCAGACUCCUACGGGAGGCAGCAGUGGGGAAUAUUGCGCAAUGGGCGAAAGCCUGACGCAGCAACGCCGCGUGCGGGAUGACGGCCUUCGGGUUGUAAACCGCUUUCAGCAGGGAGGAAGCCGCAAGGUGACGGUACCUGCAGAAGAAGCACCGGCUAACUACGUGCCAGCCGCCGCGGUAA